CCUACGGGGUGCAGCAGUGGGGAAUAUUGGGCAAUGGAGGAAACUCUGACCCAGCAAUGCCGCGUGAAUGAAGAAGGUCUUCGGAUUGUAAAGUUCUUUAGUCAGGGAAGAAGGCAAUGACGGUAACGGAAGAAUAAGCUCCGGCUAACUACGUGCCAGCAGCCGCGGUAAUACGUAGGGAGCAAGCGUUGUGCGGAAUGACGGGGCGUAAAGGGUGCGUAGGCGGUUGUACAAGUUAGAAGUGAAAUACCCAGGGCUUAACUCGGGUGCUGCUUCUAAAACUGUAUGACUUGAGUGCAGUAGAGGUUAGUGGAUUUCCUAGUGUAGCGGUGGAAUGCGUAGAUAUUAGGCGGCACCCCAGCGGCGAAGGCGGCUAACUGGACUGCAACUGACGCUGAGGCACGAAAGUGUGGGGAGCAAACAGGAUUAGAUACCCGGGUAGUC
rnacentral:rRNA from 1 species